CCCUAGCCCCGAUAGUAACGGAAAUCCUUUUGCUUUUUAAAGGAAAAAGCAAAAGAUUGUAGUGCAUAGCGGGAAAUAGC
rfam:Flavobacterium sp. ov086 genome assembly, contig: Ga0070134_120